UAAUCCAGCCAAUGCUGCAUCACACACUAACACCAUCUGUCACCACUCACAUCGGGAGUCAGCUGCCGGAAGGGACGACUACUGGUGCGGGUUCUGUCCGACUGGCCUAGUUAGGGGGCUGGGUGCCUUCUGCAGCCUUGGCACCGCGCCUGUCUGGGUGCAGGUGGGACGCAGAGAUCUGAUUUUACUGAGCACAUCACUACCUGAUCGUUCGGUGCGUUGAAAGCGGGAAAGAUGCGGAGGAGGGAGCGACUCGGUGAUGCGGUGACACAUGGCUGCCUGGACGCUCUGACUGCGGUCCUCACGCUUCUUCACUCCAGCGGAACAAGCAAAGGCUGGGCAUCGGGGCACUAAGUGAGGCUGCCCAGAAGCUGACGGAUCAGAACAGACUGUGACUGGAUCUGUAAGGAGUGAAAACCGAGCCGGUCGCAUCGCCUCGCGUUGCAGAGGAUUACUGUCACCGCCGAGUCGCCGUAGCGAUGGGAGAAAAUAUGUCCAAGCGGCUGAAGUUGGUAUCAACUACAGAAGCAGAUAUGGAAGAGCGUUCUUUCCCUAACCAAUAUCCUGACUGGGAACAGGGACUCGCUGUCUCGAACGCUGGAGCUGAGCUGGAUUCUGACGAGCCGCUGGACGCUGAAGGAAAGGUUAAUGCAGCAUUUCUAAGGAAGGUCCAGAGUAAGAUCAAUGAUCUCCUCCAGCAAAUGGAAGAAGGCCUAAAGACUGCUGACCCCCAUGACUUCAGCACUUACACCGGCUGGACAGGCAUUGCCUUAUUGUACCUUCAGCUGCACCGCAUCUCUGGUGAGGCUUCCCACCUGCAGAGGGCAUUGGAUUAUGUGAAGAGGGCCAUGAGGAUUUUGAAUGGCCGCAAAGUGACUUUUCUGUGUGGCGAUGCUGGACCUCUGGCUGUUGGUGCUGUGGUCCACCACAAACUAAACAACAAUACAGAGAGUAAAGACUGUGUGUCCAGGCUCCUCCAGCUGCAACGCUCAGUCAUCAGUCCAGACAACGAGAUGCCUGACGAACUGCUGUUUGGUCGGACUGGAUAUUUGUUUGCUCUGCUUUAUGUUAAUAAAGAAAUUGGGGCUGAUGCUGUGGCUGAGGCAACAAUUACCAAGGUGGUGACGGCCAUCGUGGAAUCAGGAAAGAACAUGUCAGCUGAGGAGAAGAAGACGGAUCGCUGCCCUCUCCUCUAUGAAUGGCAUAAGAAGCAGUAUGUUGGUGCUGCCCAUGGUCUUACUGGCAUCUUUUACAUUCUGAUGCAGCCUGGAGCCAGGCUCCACCCAACCACGCUGGCAGAGCUGGUCCGCCCCAGCAUCGACUACGUCCGCCACAAGAGGUUUCGAUCUGGGAACUUCCCAUCGUCGCUAAGCAACGAGAGUGACCGGCUGGUACACUGGUGUCACGGAGCUCCAGGUGUCAUCCACAUGCUCAUUAUGGCCUACAAGAUGUUCAAAGAGGAGAAAUACCUGAAGGAGGCAGUAGACUGUGCUGAGGUCAUCUGGCAGCGGGGCUUGCUAAGGAAAGGCUACGGUAUCUGCCAUGGGACCGCCGGCAACGGCUAUGCCUUCUUAACCCUAUAUAAGCUCACACAGGAAAAAAAGUACUUGUAUCGAGCGUGCAAGUUUGCUGAGUGGUGCUUGGACUAUGGGACUCAUGGCUGUCGCAUUCCAGACAGACCAUACUCUUUAUUUGAAGGUAUGGCAGGAACCAUCCACUACCUGUCGGAGAUGGCCAACCCUGAAGCCUCCAGCUUCCCUGCCUUUGAGCUUUAACCCUCCAGCUGAUGAGGCUGAGGAUCGGGGGCAUGGCAGGAGAUGGGGAGGGAGUGGUCAGGGAGGUGUCAGUAUUUGGACAACUUUGUUAUUGCUUUGGACAGAACAGUCCUGUUGGCAGCUGAAUUUCAGUGAAAUCAGUUUGUUUCUGAAGAAUUCCUGGUUUAACAGCAUGAUGAAUGUUGUUUCUUAGGUGGAGGUAGGGGUUUCGGGGGAAGGGAGAGGAGUAGGAGGGGGGAUUUCUGUCACAGAUUAUUAUUCGAUGGAUCAGGAAUAGGAAGGUUUCUGGAAAUCUGUAUGUCGCUCUUCCCUCUCGUCCGAUUGUGUUUGGGACUUUAACCUUCUCACUCAGAACGAUUCAUUGUCACCUGACAGAGAUGACCCCCCACCUCCUUCACCUCACCCCACCUCCCCCCAUCGUACAGAGAAUGAGGGCAGGCUCCAGGGGGGGAGGACAUGCGGCAAGGGUCGCUGGGACCGGGUGUCGAGCCCGCGGCGUCCGUGUCGGGGACUGGGGCCUCCUGACGGGGGGCGUGCUGACCCCUUGCGCCACCACAGCACGCCCCACUUUUAGUGAAUAGUUGUCCAAUCAUAAAUAAAGUUGGUUAGGAAAAAAUGGCCAGUUCUAG